rnacentral:rRNA from 1 species
CGCCAGACUCCUACGGGAGGCAGCAGUGGGGAAUAUUGCACAAUGGGGGAAACCCUGAUGCAGCGACGCCGCGUGAGCGAUGAAGUAUUUCGGUAUGUAAAGCUCUAUCAGCAGGGAAGAAGAUGACGGUACCUGACUAAGAAGCCCCGGCUAACUACGUGCCAGCAGCCGCGGUAAUACGUAGGGGGCAAGCGUUAUCCGGAUUUACUGGGUGUAAAGGGAGCGUAGACGGCGAUGCAAGCCAGAUGUGAAAGCCCGGGGCUCAACCCCGGGACUGCAUUUGGAACUGUGUGGCUGGAGUGUCGGAGAGGCAGGCGGAAUUCCUAGUGGAGCGGUGAAAUGCGUAGAUAUUAGGAGGAACACCAGUGGCGAAGGCGGCCUGCUGGACGAUGACUGACGUUGAGGCUCGAAAGCGUGGGGAGCAAACAGGAUUAGAUACCCCAGUAUA